UUUCUCUUCUGUUUAUUGGCUUGUGGUAGUUACAAUGGUCUUCGAGCUUUCCUUUCGGGGUUUCAGGAACUAGGUUGUUUCUCUGGGUUUUCUGGGUCAAAUCAGGCAAGAGCUUAGAGAUUGAGGAGAUAUUUUCUUGUAGCUAUAAGGGAGAUUUGAUUGAUGAUGAGAAAUUUUGUUUGAUGCUUGGUCCUUGUUCUCAAUCUGCUCCGCUUGUAAUUGUUUGAUCCCAAUCAAGAAAUAUAAUUACUUGUGUAAAAUAAGGUAAUUAUAUUUCUUGAUUGGAAACCAUCAAGUAGUAUUUAGUUGAUUUGUGGUAUGAGAUUAAUGGUGUGAAUUAGGAUGGAAGGAUUCACAGGUGUAAUGAUUAAAUUGUCGGUUUCAAAUAAUUCGAUUUGGAAAUCGAAAAUUGAGAACCUUCUUUAUUGUAAGGAUAUUAAUUGGAUCAUGUGAAUUAAUUUGGUAAUUAUUUUAAUUUACACAAGUGAUUAUUUUGGAAGACCCAACAAUGAUUUCGUCGUGCCCUCGUUUCUGAUUCUGUAAGAAAAAUUGAAGAAUGAUGGGAAAUUCUGCUUGGUACUUGAUUCUCCUGUGAGCCAUUUCAUGUAUAGAAAGAUCUGGGUUCCUCUAAAAUCUUAUAGUGAAGCAAUACUUAGUUGUUCAGAGCUUGAUAUCUAUUUUCUGCUAUCUGGGUGUCAUUGCUUUAUGCAGUAUAAGCUUUGGCUCUUAAGCUUAGGUUUGACCCUGGCUCAGUUGGUACAGGCUUUAUCUGUUGCUCUUGGAACUCAAAGUUGAUUUUGGGAUGUGAAUUUAUCUCUGUGGUGGUCACAAAACUUUGGUUGCUGUUAUUUUUGCUGCUAAUUUAUUGUGGAUAAGCCUUCAAUUUUCAUGUUGUAAGUAACAAUAUUUGGUUUCAAACCCUGUGCCUCUAAUUAAUCUAAAAGAUAAAUGGUUCUUGUGUGAGGCCAUUCCUAGCUAACCUUCCAGCAAGUAUGUAGUAAGUUAUUCCUCUUCCUUCAUUUCCUGUAACAAAUUAGAAGCAUCAACUAGUUUUUCCAGAGGACAGUACCCCUGAAUCCAGGGUUCGUGGUUGAUGACAUAAGGGACAACCAUUUAUAUAGGCAUCUAAUUGAUAAACUGCAAUAGCUUUUCUUAUGUUUUCAUUUAUUGCAAGUUUUUGGGUUGGAUUAUAUGUAAUCUAUGGAUUUUAUGGUUCUAUUUUGUGUGUCUAGGUUUAUUCACUGAAACAUUAGAGAACUCUAUGAUCACAUCUCAUCUUUUCUUUAUAUAUUUAAUUAUAUGGGCUAGGAAAUAGAAACCCUUCUCAUCUGCAAUUCAUUUUUCUCUCUAAAAUUAUACUGCAAGGAUGAUUUGUUUGGCAUCUAGCUCUUCAUUCCUUGAACUUUCCUUUCUUAUUGGGUUUCCUCCAUUGGAUGUUUCUUUGUCUAUUUUGUAUAGAGAUUGGCCAAUUAUUCUUUUGCAAGUUUAGUUGAUCUUUCUCUCUGUGCUUCUUUCUUUCUUCUUCCUUUCAGAGUAUGCCUAAUCCUCCUAUCAUAAUCUUUCUCCUUAGUUACAACUUAUGUCUUUUUAAUCCAAAAAAAUGAUUGGUUUGCUAUAGGAAAACUAUUUGGUGCUUGAGUUUUAUGGAUUAUUCCAAUUUUAUGUUUCUUUGCAGUUGAAACUUAUAAAUUGCUCAAUAUAUUGCACAAGAUGAAGUGAAAUUCUGGAAGUAAUAUGGACAUGAAGAACCCUGCAAUGGGUUUUACGAAGAUUAUCAAAGACAUCAGUUCUUCGACCCUUGUCGAUGAGAUUGCAGUGCUUAUGAUUCACAGCCCUUUGCCUCAUCAGAAUAUCUGAGUGCAGAAAAUGUCUGGGUGAAAUUGUUAAGCCUUUGAUAUAUCCCAUGAAGAAUUGUUAGUUCAUUCAGCUAAAGUUGAAUAAAAUUGUGAAUGCAGGGAUCCAUGGAUGAAUGAUCGGCAUUGGGUCAUCUGACACCAUUCUAGUGUACGCAUCCAUCUCAAAUAAACACAUUUUCAAUUGGGAAAGAAGGAAUUAGAGAAUAUGAAACUUGACACAGAUCUCGCUCAUGACUUCGAUCAAAGAAAAUGAAGAAAUAUUGCUGUUCAGAAGCUCCAAAAGGCG